ACAAGCUCUCGGGGUGCUUCUGAGGCAUGCUAAAUUGAGAGCCAGAGCCCAAGGCAGCGCAUCUCCAAGUUCGAAGUGCAGAGAGGAAUCCCCAAGGACCUUGUUAGACUACAGGUUCGGAUGCGGUCGCGCGGGGCCUGGGGCUGGCGAGAUUUCCUUUCCAACCAGCUUUCCAGACGUGCCCGGGUUGCUUCUUCAGGGAUGACUCAGCAGAGCAUGGAGCCGGUCUGAAAGCUGUGCGCCCCGGCAGGCUGUGGAUAACGAAGCUUAGCCCUUCCCUCAUGGAAUGUAUCCCAGGCACAGCCGGGCAGGCACUGUUUAACUCAUUCUAGAGAGAGGCCUGGAGGAAGGCCUCUGCAGACCUUAAAACCUCGUGUACCAAGGCAGCCCUGUUCCCCAGCACCUCCCUCACCGAGAGCCUCCCUCCUUCCAGCCCUCCUACUUCCUGUCCACAAGGUCAGAAAGGACCUGGCUCAUUCUUGAGUUGUGAAAGCCAGAGUGUCUUAGGCAGUCGCUCAGAGAGAGCCAGAGGCCAUGCAUACUGCAGUGAACAGCUCCCUGGGUCCCCUCUGACCAGUGGACAUUUCAACACCCAGACAUGGUGCAGAUCCUGGGGAAGCCAUGCCCUCUCCUGCUCAAAGAACCAGCACCAACGUGUCUGUCCAGAUCGUUGCCUCUGCCAGAAAUCAGUCCAGGGUUUCCUGUGACCCAGUGUGGCCAACCUGGAAGGAGAAGCUUUCCUGCUGGAUGAGAGAGAUGGGCCCAGUCUGUGAGGAUGAGAUGCUUGGUGAUGCCACAGCCCUCCUGCCUCAAUGAAGUGCCUGAAGAACCUCCGAGAUGCCAACGCCCCGUUGAAUUUCCUUUCUGUGGCUGUGAUAAGAUACUUGGACAAAAGCAACUUAAGGAAGAAGCGUUCUGGCUCCACCACCACUCCAGACUGGAGCCCAUCAUGGCAGGGGAGAGAUGGUCACCUUCCUCUGCAGCCAAGAAGCAGAGAGGACUCAGCUCACUGUCUCAUCCUCAGACAGCCCAGGAGCCCCUGCCCAGGGAAUGGCCCCAGCCAUAAGUAAGAGGAGUCUUCCCUGCCAGGCACGGUGGCACUUACCUUCAAUCCCAGCACUUGGGGGGCAGAGGCAGGUGGAUCUCUGUGAGUUCGAGGCCAGCCUGGUCUACAGAGCGAGUUCCAGGACAGGCAGGACUACCGAGGAACCUGUUGUGGUAGUCGGAACGUAAUUAGUUCCCACAAGCUCACAGGGAGUGGCACACUGUCAGGAGGUGUGACUCUGUUGCAGCAGGUGUGGCUGUGUGGGAGGAAGUGUGCCACUGUGGAGGGGGCUUUGAAAUCUCAUAUGUGCUCAAGCCAUGCUGAGUGUCCUAGUGGACUUCCUAUUGUCUGU